UGGGGAAUAUUGGACAAUGGGCGCAAGCCUGAUCCAGCCAUGCCGCGUGAGUGAUGAAGGCCCUAGGGUUGUAAAGCUCUUUCACCGGUGAAGAUAAUGACGGUAACCGGAGAAGAAGCCCCGGCUAACUUCGUGCCAGCAGCCGCGGUAAUACGAAGGGGGCUAGCGUUGUUCGGAUUUACUGGGCGUAAAGCGCACGUAGGCGGACUAUUAAGUCAGGGGUGAAAUCCCGGGGCUCAACCCCGGAACUGCCUUUGAUACUGGUAGUCUUGAGUUCGAGAGAGGUGAGUGGAAUUCCGAGUGUAGAGGUGAAAUUCGUAGAUAUUCGGAGGAACACCAGUGGCGAAGGCGGCUCACUGGCUCGAUACUGGCGCUGGGGUGCGAAAGCGUGGGGAGCAAACAGG
rnacentral:rRNA from 1 species